rnacentral:tmRNA from 1 species
GGGGGCGAAACGGCUUCGACGGGGAUCCUUAGCUUAGGUGGCAUACCGAGGUCCUAUCGCCUCGUAAAACAGAUAGGAAAAAAUAAUCGCAGACAACUACGAUUACGCCUUGGCCGCUUAGUCGGCCAUCACCCUGUCAUUCUUUCCUGCGAGGAUGACAAGGGUGUCGAUCAGCAGGAUAGCCCGACCGAAGUUCCUGUAAUCUGUCGGGCGAACCCUUUAACAGGAUAGCCUUUGGGACCUCCUGUCCGUCGGAUGUCCGAAAGGCGAACAUUGAGUAGACGGAAUAAGUAUGUAGAGGCCUAAGUGACGUAUUUCCGGACGCGGGUUCGACUCCCGCCGCCUCCACCA